rnacentral:lncRNA from 1 species
GGCAUUGCUUUGGGAGCAGCCUUUUGUCAUCUGCAGGGUAAAAGAGGUGCUGGCUUAAAGGGCUUUGCAUCAGACCGUGAGUUACAGCAGACCUUCAGAUAGCUGUUCUGCAGAGCAUUUGUGGAUGAAAGUGUAUGAGUCAAACUGGAAUUAACUCCUUUCUAUGAGAUCUUUUAUAAUCAUGGACAGGAGCUCAGUGCCCACAGUAUCAGACUUCAGAAAAUGAGCUGUGUAUGUCAAGGAGAUGCCAUUACAAUACAGAAAGGAGCUUUGUUCCUCCUGUGCUCUCCCCGGGCUGUAUGAAGGCAUCACGGCUGGUGCCAGGCUGGGCACUCACUGCACUUCCCAGCUCAAUUCUGCUUCAGCAAAUAAGAGCUAGGUGCAAUGUGAUAGAUGCUCUGCCACCAAGUGUACGGCUGAGUGGUAAUAGAAGAUGAGAUAGAUUCCUGUGAAAUAAUAUUGCUCACUCCUGGUUUUGCUUCUAUCUAUCUGAAAUGUAAAAUAAACUGGGCAUGUUCAAAAAAAGUUUCA